GCUUACUAGCUAUUCCGAUGAUAAUAUAGUUGUAGUUUGUCAUUGCAGAAUGUGGGAAUCCUUACAUCAUAGUCUCUAUUUGACCUCCUAGAGGUGACAACUAGAUCUUUGCUGUGGCAAAUGCGUUAAAUUGCAAUCUAAGACUACGUUAUCUCGCUGGUGGAUUGGUUUUUGGCCGGGAGCUUGAAUUGUUGCUUCAGUUGGACAUUCAAGUUUCUGGGGCCAAGAGAGCUACAAUGCUUGGAUGUCGACCGUGGCAGUGAAUCCAAUUGACUUGCAUGGGAGCAUAAGUUGAAACAUCAAACAGAAAGGAAAUUCUUUUUGUCUUGAAAUGCAAUAUUUUCAUGGAGUUCAGAGUAGCAGGGUCUUCAGUGAAAGACAGAGCGUCAACACUCUUCACAAUGUAUGCAACGCUCCUUCCUAAUAUGAGAAGAAAAAGGAUGUGUGGCGUGAACAGGUUGUUGCAUAACUGAGGGCAAUUCAGCACAUGAUUUAUAGAGCAGAAAAGAGCAGCUCUGCUCCAGCCAGCAAUAGGUUAAACAUCUGAUGGAUUCAUCACAAACCUUGCAUGGACCAUCCUUCAUAUGACAGU